AAAGGCUGAGUUUUUUAAGCCCCUCCCCCACUUCUGAACAGAGGUGGAGCCUGAGACACAAUAGGGUUUAAUCACUCAUGUGGUCAGAGUUGAGAGCCAAGCUUCUCUCACAUGAGAGAGACGGAGAGAAAGUGUGUGUGUGCGUGUAAGCGUGCGCGUUCGUGCGUGUGUGUGUGUGUGAGUGUGUAGAGCGGACUUCAUCUCACGCUGAGUCGCAGUUACACGAGAUUGACGGGAAAACCCUGGCACAGGGUCAGACUGCAGCUGGAAAAAUCCACAGAGAUUCAAAAGCAACCCGGACCUUCAUCAUCAGCCUCAUCGUCUUCCUCAUCCAGGCUGGAUCAUGGCUGCGUGCGUCGGGCUGCGUUACUCUUCUUAGCACACAGAGAGUGUUUGAGUGGAAAUCAGAAGAGAACAGAGGAGCAUCAUGAUCUCUCACUACCCCUGGCAUCUCUGCUCCCGUGGCCACCACUGCCCCUCUGCCUGGAGCUGGACGCUGAGGGAGGAGUGGCACUGCAGAGAUACCAACCACGAUCACCUGACAGCAGCCCUCGACACUGGAAAGCGUAAACAUCUCUAUCCUGAAGACUGUGACUGUUACUAAAGUGCUGACACUGGAGACUCCUUCCAAAACACGUUAAAUAAACAUCUCCUAAAAAAAAAAAAAACAAACAACAAAAAAACGCCCCCACCUCCGUUCAACGAUCGUCCGUUUGUCUUUUGUUAAACCACAACAUCUAAAUGAUCUAAAUGUAUCGUUCGCUUUAGAUUACACGUCCCUGUGAAUGAGCUGUUACUAUAGAAACGAUAACGUCAUAACAUAACGAGCGCUUUAAUAUCGAAACCUGGCGUUCGUGCUAAUGCGCGCCUUCCGACCAAUCGGAUUCGAGAAUUCAGCUGCACUGCACCGGGGUAUAAUAAUCCUGGACACCAGGUGUAGAGAGGAGCUGAUUGGUCUGCAUGUAUGGAAGGAGUCUCCAGUGUCAGAGGCAGGGCCGUGAGUAAGCCCGUGAGUAAGCAGGACAGGACGGCACGUCGGCGUACGUCUCUUCGGCGUUGAUUAUUUUACUCUAACAGAUUGGCGCUGAGGGUUAUAUUCCUUACACGCACUACCGGUCGAAAGUUUGUGGACACCCGACUGAAACGUUUCCUGAAAAGCAGCCGAUGAGAGUCCGGCGUCGGUGGGAACUCCUUUAAUACUGUUUAAAA
ensembl:lncRNA